rnacentral:rRNA from 1 species
AACGAACGCUGGCGGCAGGCCUAACACAUGCAAGUCGAACGAACUCUUCGGAGUGAGUGGCGGACGGGUGAGUAACGCGUGAGAAUCUGCCUGUGGGUCGGGGACAACCACUGGAAACGGUGGCUAAUACCGGAUGAGCCGAAAGGUAAAAGAUUUAUUGCCCACAGAUGAGCUCGCGUCUGAUUAGCUAGUUGGUAAGGUAAAAGCGUACCAAGGCGACGAUCAGUAGCUGGUCUGAGAGGAUGAGCAGCCACACUGGGACUGAGACACGGCCCAGACUCCUACGGGAGGCAGCAGGUGGGAAUUUUCCGCAAGGGCGAAAGCCUGACGGAGCAAGACCGCGUGGGGGAGGAGUUUUGGAUCGUAAACCCUUUGUCAAGGAAGAAGCUCUGACGGUACUUGACGAAUAAGCC